AGAGUUUGAUCAUGGCUCAGGAUGAACGCUAGCUACAGGCUUAACACAUGCAAGUCGAGGGGCAUCAUGUCGGUUGCUUGCAACCGAUGAUGGCGACCGGCGCACGGGUGAGUAACGCGUAUCCAACCUUCCGCACACUAAGGGAUAACCCGUUGAAAGACGGCCUAAUACCUUAUGUCYUCCACGGCAGAACAUCUAAUGUGGAGCAAAGAUUCAUCGGUGUGUGAUGGGGAUGCGUCUGAUUAGGCAGUUGGCGGGGUAACGGCCCACCAAACUGACGAUCAGUAGGGGUUCUGAGAGGAAGGUCCCCCACAUUGGAACUGAGACACGGUCCAAACUCCUACGGGAGGCAGCAGUGAGGAAUAUUGGUCAAUGGGCGAGAGCCUGAACCAGCCAAGUAGCGUGCAGGACGACGGCCCUAUGGGUUGUAAACUGCUUUUAUGCGGGGAUAAAACGCGGGACGUGUCCCGCCUUGCAGGUACCGCAUGAAUAAGGACCGGCUAAUUCCGUGCCAGCAGCCGCGGUAAUACGGAAGGUCCGGGCGUUAUCCGGAUUUAUUGGGUUUAAAGGGAGCGUAGGCCCGCUUUGUAAGCGUGUUGUGAAAUUUGCCGGCUCAACCGGUAACUUGCAGCGCGAACUGCAGAGCUUGAGUGUGCGCAACGUUGGCGGAAUUCGUCGUGUAGCGGUGAAAUGCUUAGAUAUGACGAAGAACUCCGAUUGCGAAGGCAGCUGACGGGAGCACUACUGACGCUGAAGCUCGAAAGUGCGGGUAUCGAACAGGGUUAGAUACCCUSGUAGUCCGCACGGUAAACGAUGGAUGCCCGCUGUUUGCACAUAGUUGCAAGCGGCCAAGCGAAAGCGUUAAGCAUCCCACCUGGGGAGUACGCCGGCAACGGUGAAACUCAAAGGAAUUGACG
rnacentral:rRNA from 1 species